UACGUAGGGGGCUAGCGUUGUCCGGAUUUAUUGGGCGUAAAGCGCGUGUAGGCGGUUCGAUAAGUCUGCUGUGAAAGUCCAGGGCUCAACCCUGGGAUGCCGGUGGAUACUGUCGGGCUUGAGUACGGAAGAGGCGAGUGGAAUUCCUGGUGUAGCGGUGAAAUGCGCAGAUAUCAGGAGGAACACCGAUGCGAAGGCAGCUCGCUGGGACGUAACUGACGCUGAGACGCGAAAGCGUGGGGAGCAAACAGG
rnacentral:rRNA from 1 species